ensembl:lncRNA ZEB1-AS1 ZEB1 antisense RNA 1
AUUAUCCGGCUUCAGCGCUCCGUGCGUCCGGCCCAGGUAACAACUUCCCCAAAAACCGAAAGAGAAAAGCGCGAGGCGCACGCACACCGGCCCAUCCCGGCGCAGAGACCUCGUCUGCCCCGGGAGGGGGAUCUGUCUGUGGUGCUUCCCGGUCUCUAAGCCCAGGGCCUACUGCAGUGCAUGAAGGUGGUAUGGACUCAGAACUCUGAAGUCUGAGGAGACAAAUACAUGCCCACCAUAACAACAUCACACAAUACCUAGAGUCAAAACAGUUAUCCCUAUUCCUACCCCCAACUGAGUUAUUCAAUAAAGCCUGCCUUGUUGAAUCUGUUUUCCCAUGUAUAGUUUAUAUAGUUACAUAACAAUUAGUUUUUUCCAUAUACUUAGGAUAACUACAUGUAAUUUAGUAUUCUGCUGUUUUCACUUACAUAUCACAUACAUUUUCCUGAUACAGGUACAUAGUCUUUAUAUUUGUCAUUUUUCACUUGACUGCUAUGUUUCUCAAAUUGAUAUACUGUCAUUUCCUAAGCCAGUUAUAUAUUGUUGAACAUUUAAAUUACUCCCUUUUUUGGUUUGUAAAUAAACAUUGUUAUGAAAUAGUU